rnacentral:rRNA from 1 species
GAUGAACGCUGGCGGCGUGCUUAACACAUGCAAGUCGAACGGGAAGGCCCCGGCUUGCAGGGGUACUCUAGUGGCGACCGGGUGAGUAACACGUGGGUGAGGUGCCCUUCACUUCGGGAUAAGCCUGGGCAACUGGGUCUAAUACCGGAUAGGACUUUGGGCUGUAUGCUAGGGUGGAAAGGGUUUCGGUGUGGGGUGAGGUCGCGGCCUAUCAGCUUGUUGGUGGGGUAAUGGUCUACCAGGGCGUCGACCCGUAGCCGGCCUGGGAGGGUGUACGGCCCCAUUACGCCUGGGCUACGACACAGACUCCAACGGGAGGCAGCAGUGGAGAAUGUUGCACAAUGGGAGGAAGCAUAGUCUGACCCAGCCGCGUGGGGGAUGACAGCAAGCCGGUUGGAAACUAAUUUCGCUGGGCCCGAAACGAAAGUGACGGUACCUGGAGAAGAAGCGCCGGCUAACUCCGUG